UUAAAGAUGUGCAACAGUAUUGUUGUUUUAUGAUCCCUGUGUUAAUCUUUCCUCUUCACCGAAACUAUCUAAUCCACUUGUAAAUUUUUUUCUUUCCUCCAGAAAACUUGCUCUUGACAGCAGACCACAAAACUGUUAAGCUGGCUGAUUUUGGUUUGGCAAGAGAAGAAUCAUUGACAGAGAUGAUGACUGCCGAGACUGGAACCUAUCGCUGGAUGGCUCCAGAAGUAGUUCGAUUAACCUUUGUUCUUCUUAUUUCUUUUUCUAUUUUUGUUUUUUAAAUCAACAGGAUUGCUGAAAAUCUCUUCCUUUUUUGGCUAAUGGUUGCAGCUUUAUAGUACAGUCACCCUUCGUCAUGGAGAGAAGAAACAUUAUAACAAUAAGGUGGACGCUUACAGUUUUGCAAUUGUGUUAUGGGAGCUCAUACAUAAUAAGUUGCCUUUUGAAGGCAUGUCAAAUUUGCAGGCGGCCUAUGCUGCUGCUUUUAAAGUAAUUCCCUUCUCUUAAAUUGUUUAAUAUGUUGGUAGCCUCAAGUCAAUAAAAUGCGAGUUUUUCAAUACAUUGGCCUAAUAGGUAGAAAAGAUGCUAGCCUUGUUUGAGGUUAUGUAUGAAAGACAUCGGAAUGAGGAUAUUCACCACAACGUUGGGGAUUCUUCUUGCUACACUGCCCCCGCUUCCAUUGCCUGGCUGCCUCAUCUCUAUUUUUUACCCCCUCACUUGACGAUUCUAAAGAUAACUUUGUUUAUGCAACUGAAAGACUUCAUUGAGUUUUUUAAAAAGCCACGGGUAUAGGGGCUGUGUAUUGUAGUUUGUUAUUUGUUACUUCAAAUUUGUACCUUCCUUCUCAGAAUGUAAGGCCAAACGCUGAUGAUCUUCCUGAGGAUUUGGCUUUAAUUGUGACUUCAUGCUGGAAAGAAGAUCCAAAUGAGCGUCCCAACUUCACUCAGAUAAUACAGAUGCUUCUGCAUUCUCUCUCAAGAAUUUCACCACCAGAACCCGUUGAACCACCCAAGAUUUUCACUUCCAAGAAUGUCGUCUUCCCACCAGCAUCUCCAGGCACAAGCGCUUUGAUGGCAGGGAGAGAUGACGAUGGCGACACACCAAUGGAAAACAAUUCAAGAGGAUUCUUCUCCUGUUUUCACCAGUGCUACUAAUCUCUAUGCAUAUUUGUUAUAUACUGGUCAAGACGGGACAAUAUUAGUGGGCAAGAUUUUAGCUUCCUUUUUCUUAGAUAAUGGAGUUUAGGUUGCUGUGAUGUAUUGUAGCUGUAAAAUAAGGUCCAUCCAAAGGCCUAUACUCCAUUAAUUUGUUAGACUUCAGAUUAUAGUGCCAUUUGUACUCAUUGCAGCUGUGUAAGGAACCACCUUCUUAAUAGCUUCAUUGGCUUUUGUGUUUGUUUAUAUACAUUGCACACUGCUGGUUCCUCACAGGACCGGUAUUUACCUUACCAUUGCAACUGCAAAUGGGCAAAUGCAGUAAAAUCCCAAAAAAGUUAAAAUAAUGGAUUGUUGUGGCCUCUCCAAGUUACAGUAUUUUGAAGUUGGAAAACUAAAACAAAUGGCAUGAAAUGUGGGACAGAAAACAUUCAAUCCGUAACACACUUUGUGCCUUCAUUCAAUUAAAAUGCCAAAAUAAUAAUAAUAAUAACAAUAAAUAGCAGGGCGCCUGUUUAUAUACCAAUUGGACAAUACGACGUUGAAAAGUUUUUAUCCUGCUCACAAGAGAUAGGAAAUUAGGCUGUCUUUUCUAUUAGUAUAAUAAGUAGCUUGAAUUUGAUUAAGAGUAAUGCAAUUUAUCACUCUAGGAGUUUAUAUCAUAUUAUUAUACCGUCCAACUAUGGCAAGUGAGCCUUAUAAAUCACAUCAGCAGUAAAAAGUUUUUAUCUAGAGGAAGUUUUUAUCCUGCUACUCGUCACCUCAGUAGUUGGAGGUUUUAGCCCUUGUAUGGGCCUUAUUUUUUCAAAUUAUAAUGAUAGGUGAUGUGCAAGAUUCCAUCAUACCCGAACAUAAUAUCCUGAGGAUAUUGAAUGACAUCCCAUUGCCAUUUUACAAUCGAUGUGCUCGAGAAUUGUCCUCGGAGAUGUGUAAGUGCUAGAGGAUAUCCGGUCGCACGGUUACAACAUUCUGUGGUUGACAUCCUCGGGAAUGGAAGAUCCUUAAUGGCCCAGAUAGUUGCUAUUGACCCAAUAGGAUCCCUAUGAACUUAGGACUCUAACUCUAACCAACUAUACCAACGCUUGACUUCCACACGGACUCCAUCUUCAACACGUCACUACAAUGACUAACGAUUGCAAUAUCAUUCCAACUUUUCUAUCUGACGGGAUUAUUGGAUAAGAACAUUCCCCCAUUUCAAAUCCUACUAGAGGUCUACUACCUACCCCUAUAAAUACAAAUCAUUGGGACAUUACCCAGGUAUGUUUUUCAUUAUUUCCAAUUUAUAGCCUCACGUACAAAUUUCAUUUUUGACUUACGCAUCGGAGGGACGAUGAGAGCAAACCACGUUGCCUUUGUUUCAGGUAACAGAAGACUAUGAUUGUGCUCAUUGACAGUCCUCAAGCUUGAGAAAUCAGCAUUGCGGACUUUUGGUAACAUCAUUGGGGCCGUCUAUGGGAAGCGCUACCAAAAGCUAUGGUUAACACACGAUCAAGUCUUCCUUUUGCAAGCUUAUCCAUUCCCAACCCUCAUCUUCUCGAAGGUUAACCUGCACCUUAAGAAGAGUCAUCAGAAAUACUCGCGCCCCAGCCAGCAGUCGUUACAACCACAGCUUUUGAAGAGCUCCAUCAAUAGGUAGCCACGCUAACUCAACUGUCGAGUCAAAGAAAUUCGCAUUUGUCACCGGUGCAAGCAGGGCAUGGUGGUUUUAUGGCUGAUGCUCGAACCCGAGCACCAAACCUCGCAACUGGUGGAGUAGGUACCUCGGGUAUUCGUAACAUGGUCUCGGGCUCGAGAUCGGUUGCUAUGGAUUCCGGAGAGAUUGCUCGGAUCGUUAAGAAGGAAUUACAGCUGGCUUGCAACGGAAUGCUUAGAGGCCAACGGAUUUUAUCCCUAACACUCCAUUCACCCCAGAGAUAUUGUCAUAUCCCCUGCCUGACAGAUUCAAAUAUCCUUGCAUUAAAGAGUAUGAUGGGACGAUCGAUCCAAUCAAUCAUCUCAAUGUAUAUACUGAUGUCAUGAAUUUGCAAGUUGUGUCGGAUCAAGUUAUGUGCAAGGGCUUCCCGCAAACGCUGACAAACGUUGCUAGGGAUUGGUUCUCAACAUUGGAGCCCAACUUCAUAGCCUCAUUCUCAGAUUUGGCUGAUAAGUUCUCAGGCUUUUUUGCAAGUAGCAAGCGAAUCAAAAAAACUGCGGCCUCUUUCAUGCAACUUCGCCAAGGACCCUGCGAGGAUUUAUGAUGAGGUUCAACAAGGAAAGACUUCAAAUACCCGACUUGCACAUCAUAGCGAUUGUCUCCGCCCUCACUUAUGCCAUAAGAUAUGAAGCCUUCAAGAUGUCCUUAUCAAAGACCCCGCCACAGACAGUGACCAAGCUCCUUACUCGAGCUGAAAAACACCUUAAUAUGGAGGAAACGUUGAAUCUAAGGAGAUCUGGUCCUUCCCACGAAAAGGUCGAGAACAAGAAGCAACGUGAUCCCAUUUCCCGGCUAGAGAAUCCUCAGAAGAAGCGCAAGAAUGAAGGCCCACUAGGGCCUCUUACCCGGUUGAACACCUCCAAGGUAAAUAUCUUAAUGGAGAUCAAGGAUAUGAAAGAGUUGAAGUAGCCUUCAAUAAUGAAGUCACCCCCUGACACAAGAGAUAGGAGCAAGUAUUGUGAAUCGAAAUAUUUUAGAAUAACGUAGAACGUUUGUUCAACUUUGAUUAAUUCUAUUAAAAUAUCCUAGCCUUUUCAACGGAUCACCCCUAUACCGCCACCCACUAACGCAUGCACCCACCCCACCCCGCACGCGAACCAUGUUCAAAGUCACUCCGCUUCGUCCUUCAGAAAAUAAUUGAAAAUGUCCAUCUGCUUAUAUUUCAACACACUCAACUCCCUUCGCCACAUAUUUCUGCGGAUCAAACAGUAAUCGACGUCAGCUUCCAAUUUUCAAUAGCCUUUCGAGAAUUUAUCUCGAUUAUUUAGGGUUCUUCUUAUGCUUCCAGUACCCAUUGAUCUGCUUCAUUUCGAAAGAAUUUUUGGCGGCGAAUUAUAUGAAAACAUGUACUUUGGGAUUUGAAUGCAGUCUAGUUCAGUUGGAAAGAUAUUGGGCAGUGAAGGACUUUUCUAUUUCAUAUAUUUAGUUGGGUACAAUUGCUAGCGAGUAUAGUUUUUCGAGGGUUUUACUUCAAAUGUGCGAAAAUUGCACAAUUUUUGAUAUCGGGACUAGUGGAACAUAAUUGCGUCUAUUUAGAGGGUUUAGAGAAAGAGAAUUAGGGAAAAAUGGGAUCUGAGAAUAGAUUUUACUCUGAAGCAGAAUUUAAGUUGGAACCCAAAUGGUUGGUCGACCCGAAACUUCUGUUUGUUGGUCCGAAGAUUGGAGAAGGUGCUCAUGCCAAAGUGUACGAGGGAAAGUAAGUUGACUUUCAUUCUUCUGUUUAAAUCUUGAUCGCAGAGUGGUUUACAAUUCAGAAAUCUAAGUAUUAAUUUCAAGCUUUUAAGCGUAUAUUUAACGCAAUCUUUUGAUUGAUUCCAAGGAACAUUUAAUUAACACCUCUAAAUUGUGCCUUUUCAAUGGUUUUAUACGAUCUCUAAAUAUCUGUAAAGAUUAGCAUUUUGAAAUUUCUGUAAAUGAUCAAUAUUUCAGUUUUUGAAAUGAGAGAAUUAAUGCAUUCAGAUGCAGAUUUCUGCUGUAUGAGCCCGGCUUUAGCAGUUUUCUUUCAUUGUGAAGCAGGUAGCUAACCUUCUCUUUUCCUGGCCAUCUUUUAGAUACAAAAACCAGAAUGUGGCUAUCAAAAUUGUUAACAAAGGGGAUACAUCGGAAGAGGUUGCCAAGAGGGAGGCCAGAUUUGCAAGAGAAGUUGCUAUGUUAUCCAAAGUCCAACACAAGAACAUGGUUAAGGUUGUGCAUCAAUUAUCAAACGCGUCGUUUUUCGUUACAGUGUUUAGAUGUUCUUCCCAAUACACCUAUGCAUACGAAUAUGCAUACACACAUACUUGUGUUGAUACUGUAUACACAUUCAUGAAUAACGCGUAUGCAUCUAGAGAAAUUAGUGACUUUGUGUAGUAACUGUGAAAUAUGGCUGCUCCAUACAAUUUUUCGAAUAUUUAUGCGUAUGCUGUGUCUGUUACUUAUGGAUGUAUAUACGUUCAUAUAGACAUAUUCGUUCUUGCUUAUGCAUGCUAUGAUAUGCGUACAUGUAUGCUGGACAAUAUUCUUUAUGUGUGGCUGCUGAAUUUCAUGACGAACACUACAAGUUUCUUCCAGCAUUCUGACACUAUUUUUCUCCAUAGUUUAUUGGGGCUUGCAAGGAACCUGUCAUGGUCAUUGUUACCGAGCUUCUGCUUGGUGGUACGCUGCGAAAAUUUUUGUUGAACAUGCGACCGAGGUGUUUAGAUAUGCGAGUUGCAAUUGGAUUUGCGCUUGACAUAGCUCGUGCAAUUGAAUGUUUACACUCGCAUGGAAUCAUACAUCGUGACCUUAAACCUGGUAAGAGUUUCAAUAACUCAAGCGGACCUGAAAGACUACAAAGAGCAAGAAAAUAAAUAAAUGGUGUAGUCAAACCUGCAAUAAAUGGGUCUAAGACUGGGUAAUGACUAAAGUGUGAAAUACAUUCCAAUCGGAAAGGAAUUUCAUUAUACAGAAAAGAAAGAUAUGCUAUUUUUUGUUUGAUGAUUAAGAAAAUAUAUUCGGAUGCAUACCAUUGUUGUUAUAUAGUGUUUUGUAGGAAGAUGUCCUCUUUAAACUAUUUACUAUAUUUAUUCCAGUUGUUGCACAAAAAGUGAUUAGCUUAUUUUCAGAACUCGGGAUUAUACAAUACUACGGAAAUUCUCUCUGUCCUGAUUGAUGAAUUAAUUAACCAAUAAGGGGAAUACAGUUUGCGCAUUUUACAAUGUAUGCAAGGCACCAAUAUGUGAAUGUGAUGAAAAAAGCUUGGAUUUAGUUGGUUGCGUUGAUGUCUGGAGCUGAGAUCACAUGUCUUGCACUAUACUUAUGAAUUUAGAAUCAAUUAUUAUCCUUUUUGGUGAAAAGCUUUUCUCAGUUUCUCACACAAGAUCUGUUUUGAAAGAAACAUGGAAAAUAAUAUCUGUAGAAAAAUUGUCUUCAAUAAGUGAGCAAAACUUUUUGUUUACUGAUCUUGCUUUCAGACCUGUAUCACCUGUUUGACAAACAUUUAAAAAAGAUUUUUUGGGAAAAUGACUUUUGGAAUAGUGAUUUUUCGGAGAAUCUGUGGUUAAAAAGUAGGAAAAAUUUGGGUUUUAUGUGCAAAAUAUUUUAUUGUGGGAAUGUGAGGUUGAAAAUGAAUUUGAGAAAAGAGUUGAGAAAAUGUUGGGGAAGUACAGAAUGGAUUAAAGAUGUGCAACAGUAUUGUUGUUUUAUGAUCCCUGUGUUAAUCUUUCCUCUUCACCGAAACUAUCUAAUCCACUUGUAAAUUUUUUUCUUUCCUCCAGAAAACUUGCUCUUGACAGCAGACCACAAAACUGUUAAGCUGGCUGAUUUUGGUUUGGCAAGAGAAGAAUCAUUGACAGAGAUGAUGACUGCCGAGACUGGAACCUAUCGCUGGAUGGCUCC
rnacentral:lncRNA from 1 species